CUGGCCUCUGAAGAGGAAGACGUUGUGGUGGCACCUUCAGUGGAUGUUGGAGAGGAACUGGCCUCUGAAGAAGAAGACGUUGUGCUGGACCGUUCAGUGGAUGUUGGAGAGGAAGUGGCCUCUGUAGAAGAAGGCACUGUUGUGACAUUGUCAGUUGGAGUAGGAGCAGAACUGAGAUCUGUAGAUGUAGGCACUGUGGUGGCACUCUCAGUGGGGGUUGGAGAGGAAGUGGCUGCUGUAGAAGAUAUCACUUUGGUAGUGCUGUCAGUGGAAGGUGGAGACGUACUGGCUUCUGAAGAAGAAGACGUUGUGGUGGCACCUUCAGUGGAUGUUGGAGAGGAAGUGGCCUCUGUAGAAGAAGGCACUGUUGUGGCACUGUCAGUGGGAGUAGGAGAGGAACUGAGAUCUGUAGAUGUAGGAACUGUGGUGGCACUCUCAGUGGGGAUUGGAGAGGAAGUGGCUGCUGUAGAAGAAAUCACUGUGGUCGUGCUGUCAGUGGAAGGUGGAGACGAACUGGCCUCUGAAGAGGAAGACGUUGUGGUGGCACCUUCAGUGGAUGUUGGAGAGGAAGUGGCUGCUGUAGAAGAAAUCACUGUGGUGGCACCUUCAGUGGAUGUUGGAGAGGAAGUGGCCUCUGUAGAAGAAGGCACUGUUGUGGCAUUGUCAGUGGGAGUAGGAGAGGAACUAAGAUCUGUAGAUGUAGGAACUGUGGUGGCACUCUCAGUGGGGAUUGGAGAGGAAGUGGCUGCUGUAGAAGAAAUCACUGUGGUGGCACUCUCAGUGGGGGUUGGAGAGGAAGUGGCUGCUGUAGAAGAAAUCACUGUGGUGGCACUCUCAGUGGGGGUUGGAGAGGAAGUGGCUGCUGUAGAAGAAGUCACUGUGGUCGUGCUGUCAGUGGAAGGUGGAGACGAACUGGCCUCUGAAGAAGAAGACGUUGUGGUGGCACCUUCAGUGGAUGUUGGAGAGGAAGUGGCUGCUGUAGAAGAAAUCACUGUGGUGGCACUCUCAGUGGGGGUUGGAGAGGAAGUGGCCUCUGUAGAAGAAGGCACUGUUGUGGCAUUGUCAGUGGGAGUAGGAGAGGAACUGAGAUCUGUAGAUGUAGGCACUGUGGUGGCACUCUCAGUGGGGGUUGGAGAGGAAGUGGCUGCUGUAGAAGAAAUCACUGUGGUCGUGCUGUCAGUGGAAGGUGGAGACGAACUGGCCUCUGAAGAAGAAGACGUUGUGGUGGCACCUUCAGUGGAUGUUGGAGAGGAAGUGGCCUCUGUAGAAGAAGGCACUGUUGUGGCAUUGUCAGUGGGAGUAGGAGAGGAACUGAGAUCUGUAGAUGUAGGCACUGUGGUGGGAGUCUCAGUGGGGGUUGGAGAGGAAGUGGCUGCUGUAGAAGAAAUCACUGUGGUGGCACUCUCAGUGGGGGUUGGAGAGGAAGUGGCUGCUGUAGAAGAAAUCACUGUGGUCGUGCUGUCAGUGGAAGGUGGAGACGAACUGGCCUCUGAAGAGGAAGACACUGUGGUAGUGCUGUCACUGGAAGGUGGAGACGAACUGGCCUCUGAAGAGGAAGACGUUGUGGUGGCACCUUCAGUGGAUGUUGGAGAGGAAGUGGCCUCUGUAGAAGAAGGCACUGUUGUGGCAUUGUUAUUGGGAGUAGGAGAGGAACUGAGAUCUGUAGAUGUAGGCACUGUGGUGGGACUCUCAGUGGGGGUUGGAGAGGAAGUGGCUGCUGUAGAAGAAAUCACUGUGGUCGUGCUGUCAGUGGAAGGUGGAGACGAACUGGCCUCUGAAGAGGAAGACGUUGUGGUGGCACCUUCAGUGGAUGUUGGAGAGGAAGUGGCCUCUGUAGAAGAAGGCACUGUUGUGGCAUUGUUAUUGGCAGUAGGGGAGGAACUGAGAUCUGUAGAUGUAGGCACUGUGGUGGGACUCUCAGUGGGGGUUAGAGAGGAAGUGGCUGCUGUAGAAGAAAUCACUGUGGUCGUGCUGUCAGUGGAAGGUGGAGACGAACUGGCCUCUGAAGAGGAGGACGUUGUGGUGGCACCUUCAGUGGAUGUUGGAGAGGAAGUGGCCUCUGUAGAAGAAGGCACUGUUGUGGCAUUGUUAUUGGCAGUAGGGGAGGAACUGAGAUCUGUAGAUGUAGGCACUGUGGUGGGAGUCUCAGUGGGGGUUGGAGAGGAAGUGGCUGCUGUAGAAGAAAUCACUGUGGUCGUGCUGUCAGUGGAAGGUGGAGACGAACUGGCCUCUGAAGAGGAGGACGUUGUGGUGGCACCUUCAGUGGAUGUUGGAGAGGAAGUGGCCUCUGUAGAAGAAGGCACUGUUGUGGCAUUGUUAUUGGCAGUAGGGGAGGACCUGAGAUCUGUAGAUGUAGGCACUGUGGUGGGACUCUCAGUGGGGGUUGGAGAGGAAGUGGCUGCUGUAGAAGAAAUCACUGUGGUGGCACUCUCAGUGGGGGUUGGAGAGGAAGUGGCUGCUGUAGAAGAAAUCACUGUGGUCGUGCUGUCAGUGGAAGGUGGAGACGAACUGGCCUCUGAAGAGGAAGACACUGUGGUAGUGCUGUCACUGGAAGGUGGAGACGAACUGGCCUCUGAAGAGGAGGACGUUGUGGUGGCACCUUCAGUGGAUGUUGGAGAGGAAGUGGCCUCUGUAGAAGAAGACACUGUUGUGGCAUUGUUAUUGGCAGUAGGGGAGGACCUGAGAUCUGUAGAUGUAGGCACUGUGGUGGGAGUCUCAGUGGGGGUUGGAGAGGAAGUGGCUGCUGUAGAAGAAAUCACUGUGGUCGUGCUGUCAGUGGAAGGUGGAGACGAACUGGCCUCUGAAGAGGAAGACGUUGUGGUGGCACCUUCAGUGGAUGUUGGAGAGGAAGUGGCCUCUGUAGAAGAAGGCACUGUUGUGGCAUUGUUAUUGGCAGUAGGGGAGGAACUGAGAUCUGUAGAUGUAGGCACUGUGGUGGGACUCUCAGUGGGGGUUGGAGAGGAAGUGGCUGCUGUAGAAGAAAUCACUGUGGUCGUGCUGUCAGUGGAAGGUGGAGACGAACUGGCCUCUGAAGAGGAAGACGUUGUGGUGGCACCUUCAGUGGAUGUUGGAGAGGAAGUGGCCUCUGUAGAAGAAGACACUGUUGUGGUGGCACCUUCAGUGGAUGUUGGAGAGGAAGUGGCCUCUGUAGAAGAAGACACUGUUGUGGCAUUGUUAUUGGCAGUAGGGGAGGACCUGAGAUCUGUAGAUGUAGGCACUGUGGUGGGAGUCUCAGUGGGGGUUGGAGAGGAAGUGGCUGCUGUAGAAGAAAUCACUGUGGUCGUGCUGUCAGUGGAAGGUGGAGACGAACUGGCCUCUGAAGAGGAAGACGUUGUGGUGGCACCUUCAGUGGAUGUUGGAGAGGAAGUGGCCUCUGUAGAAGAAGGCACUGUUGUGGCAUUGUUAUUGGCAGUAGGGGAGGACCUGAGAUCUGUAGAUGUAGGCACUGUGGUGGGACUCUCAGUGGGGGUUGGAGAGGAAGUGGCUGCUGUAGAAGAAAUCACUGUGGUCGUGCUGUCAGUGGAAGGUGGAGACGAACUGGCCUCUGAAGAGGAGGACGUUGUGGUGGCACCUUCAGUGGAUGUUGGAGAGGAAGUGGCCUCUGUAGAAGAAGACACUGUUGUGGCAUUGUUAUUGGCAGUAGGGGAGGACCUGAGAUCUGUAGAUGUAGGCACUGUGGUGGGAGUCUCAGUGGGGGUUGGAGAGGAAGUGGCUGCUGUAGAAGAAAUCACUGUGGUCGUGCUGUCAGUGGAAGGUGGAGACGAACUGGCCUCUGAAGAGGAAGACGUUGUGGUGGCACCUUCAGUGGAUGUUGGAGAGGAAGUGGCUGCUGUAGAAGAAAUCACUGUGGUCGUGCUGUCAGUGGAAGGUGGAGACGAACUGGCCUCUGAAGAGGAAGACGUUGUGGUGGCACCUUCAGUGGAUGUUGGAGAGGAAGUGGCUGCUGUAGAAGAAAUCACUGUGGUCGUGCUGUCAGUGGAAGGUGGAGACGAACUGGCCUCUGAAGAGGAAGACGUUGUGGUGGCACCUUCAGUGGAUGUUGGAGAGGAAGUGGCUGCUGUAGAAGAAAUCACUGUGGUCGUGCUGUCAGUGGAAGGUGGAGACGAACUGGCCUCUGAAGAGGAAGACGUUGUGGUGGCACCUUCAGUGGAUGUUGGAGAGGAAGUGGCUGCUGUAGAAGAAAUCACUGUGGUCGUGCUGUCAGUGGAAGGUGGAGACGAACUGGCCUCUGAAGAGGAAGACGUUGUGGUGGCACCUUCAGUGGAUGUUGAAAAAAUCUGGUUUCAAAAUCCAUUGUCUGAAUGA
rnacentral:lncRNA from 1 species